AUACUCACCUGGCGUUGAGUUAUCGUGAUCAUGCAGGCGGUUCCCCUAGGGUGCGGCUGCUCCAUUGCACUACGGAGUGGUUGACCCUUGCGAUUAUUUUUAUAUUUUAUAAGUUUCACUUCUACCGUGUGUGACUUGCACACACACACACACACA
rnacentral:snRNA from 9 species